UAAGAAAACCCGCUGAAUUUAAGCAUAUCAAUAAGCGGAGGA
rnacentral:rRNA from 1 species